UUUCCUAUGGUGAACCAGCGGAAGGAUCAUUACAGAGAUCAUGCCCUCUAAGGGUAGACCUCCCACCCUGUGUUACUACUCUUGUUGCUUUGGCAGGCCGCCUUCGGGCUCUCGGCUCCGGCUGAGGUUCGCCUGCCAGAGGACCCCAACUCUGUGUUUAGUGUCGUCUGAGUACUAUAUAAUAAGUUAAAACUUUCAACAACGGAUCUCUUGGUUCUGGCAUCGAUGAAGAACGCAGC
rnacentral:misc_RNA from 1 species